rnacentral:rRNA from 1 species
GACGAACGCUGGCGGCGUGCUUAACACAUGCAAGUCGAACGGAAAGGCCCUGCUUUUGUGGGGUGCUCGAGUGGCGAACGGGUGAGUAACACGUGAGUAACCUGCCCUUGACUUUGGGAUAACUUCAGGAAACUGGGGCUAAUACCGGAUAGGAGCUCCUGCUGCAUGGUGGGGGUUGGAAAGUUUCGGCGGUUGGGGAUGGACUCGCGGCUUAUCAGCUUGUUGGUGGGGUAGUGGCUUACCAAGGCUUUGACGGGUAGCCGGCCUGAGAGGGUGACCGGCCACAUUGGGACUGAGAUACGGCCCAGACUCCUACGGGAGGCAGCAGUGGGGGAUAUUGCGCAAUGGGCGGAAGCCUGGUGCAGCAACGCCGCGUGCGGGAUGACGGCCUUCGGGUUGUAAACCGCUUUCGCCUGUGACGAAGCGUGAGUGACGGUGAUGGGUAAAGAAGCACCGGCUAACUACGUG